UACGUAGGGGGCUAGCGUUGUCCGGAUUUAUUGGGCGUAAAGAGCGUGUAGGCGGCCAUGUAGGUCCGGUGUGAAAACUCGAGGCUUAACCUCGAGAUGUCAUCGGAAACCAUUUGGCUAGAGUCCGGAAGAGGAGAGUGGAAUUCCUGGUGUAGCGGUGAAAUGCGCAGAUAUCGAGGAAGAACAACCAUAGGCGAAAGCAGCUCUCUGGGACGGUACUGACGCUGAAGGAGGCGAAAGCAUGGGGAGCGAACAGG
rnacentral:rRNA from 1 species